GAGGCGAACCGGGGGAACUGAAACAUCUAAGUACCCCGAGGAAAAGAAAUCAACCGAGAUUCCCCCAGUAGCGGCGAGCGAACGGGGAGGAGCCCAGAGCCUGAAUCAGUGUGUGUGUUAGUGGAAGCGUCUGGAAAGGCGCGCGAUACAGGGUGACAGCCCCGUACACAAAAAUGCACAUGCUGUGAGCUCGAUGAGUAGGGCGGGACACGUGGUAUCCUGUCUGAAUAUGGGGGGACCAUCCUCCAAGGCUAAAUACUCCUGACUGACCGAUAGUGAACCAGUACCGUGAGGGAAAGGCGAAAAGAACCCCGGCGAGGGGAGUGAAAAAGAACCUGAAACCGUGUACGUACAAGCAGUGGGAGCACGCUUAGGCGUGUGACUGCGUACCUUUUGUAUAAUGGGUCAGCGACUUAUAUUCUGUAGCAAGGUUAACCGAAUAGGGGAGCCGAAGGGAAACCGAGUCUUAACUGGGCGUUAAGUUGCAGGGUAUAGACCCGAAACCCGGUGAUCUAGCCAUGGGCAGGUUGAAGGUUGGGUAACACUAACUGGAGGACCGAACCGACUAAUGUUGAAAAAUUAGCGGAUGACUUGUGGCUGGGGGUGAAAGGCCAAUCAAACCGGGAGAUAGCUGGUUCUCCCCGAAAGCUAUUUAGGUAGCGCCUCGUGAAUUCAUCUCCGGGGGUAGAGCACUGUUUCGGCAAGGGGGUCAUCCCGACUUACCAACCCGAUGCAAACUGCGAAUACCGGAGAAUGUUAUCACGGGAGACACACGGCGGGUGCUAACGUCCGUCGUGAAGAGGGAAACAACCCAGACCGCCAGCUAAGGUCCCAAAGUCAUGGUUAAGUGGGAAACGAUGUGGGAAGGCCCAGACAGCCAGGAUGUUGGCUUAGAAGCAGCCAUCAUUUAAAGAAAGCGUAAUAGCUCACUGGUCGAGUCGGCCUGCGCGGAAGAUGUAACGGGGCUAAACCAUGCAC
rnacentral:rRNA from 1 species